rnacentral:tRNA from 1 species
GCGUUGGUGGUUCAGUGGUAGAAUUCUUGCCUUCCGUGCAGAGGAACCCGGUUUGAUUCCCAGCCAAUGCG